rnacentral:siRNA from 1 species
UGGUGAAAGAGAAGAAUUGGG